GAUGAACGCUGGCGGCGUGCCUAAUACAUGCAAGUCGAGCGAACGGACGAGAAGCUUGCUCCUCUGAUGUUAGCGGCGGACGGGUGAGUAACACGUGGAUAACCUACCUAUAAGACUGGGAUAACUUCGGGAAACCGGAGCUAAUACCGGAUAAUAUAUUGAACCGCAUGGUUCAAUAGUGAAAGACGGUCUUGCUGUCACUUAUAGAUGGAUCCGCGCUGCAUUAGCUAGUUGGUAAGGUAACGGCUUACCAAGGCAACGAUGCAUAGCCGACCUGAGAGGGUGAUCGGCCACACUGGAACUGAGACACGGUCCAGACUCCUACGGGAGGCAGCAGUAGGGAAUCUUCCGCAAUGGGCGAAAGCCUGACGGAGCAACGCCGCGUGAGUGAUGAAGGUCUUCGGAUCGUAAAACUCUGUUAUUAGGGAAGAACAAAUGUGUAAGUAACUAUGCACAUCUUGACGGUACCUAAUCAGAAAGCCACGGCUAACUACGUG
rnacentral:rRNA from 1 species